GAUGAACGCUGGCGGCGUGCCUAACACAUGCAAGUCGUACGAGCUCGAUCUUCGGAACGGGUUAGUGGCGCACGGGUGAGUAACACGUAGGUGACCUACCCCAGAGUGGGGGAUAACUUCUCGAAAGAGAGGCUAAUACCGCAUACACUCGGUCAUUCAUUUGGCCGAGCAAAGCUCCGGCGCUUUGGGACGGGCCUGCGUCCGAUUAGCUAGUUGGUAGGGUAAUGGCUUACCAAGGCUUUGAUCGGUAGCUGGUCUGAGAGGACGAUCAGCCACACUGGCACUGACACACGGGCCAGACUCCUACGGGAGGCAGCAGUGAGGAAUAUUGGGCAAUGGGCGAAAGCCUGACCCAGCAACGCCGCGUGAGGGAUGAAGGCCUUCGGGUUGUAAACCUCUUUUCUGGUAGAAGAGACAAGGACGGUAGUCCCAGGAAUAAGUACUCGGCUAACUACGUGCCAGCAGCCGCGGUAA
rnacentral:rRNA from 1 species